ACAGUAUAUAUUACUUUAAUCUAUGAUCGCGAAUUGUGAUGUUUGAGGUUCUUUGCACUUAUUCCGUUUGUUUAUUUGUAUAUCAAAUAAUUAGUACUGUUGAUUAUUGUUUUGGGGGCCUCUUGCGAAGCUAUCAAUGUUUAUUUUGGUGUAUAACUCGGAGUGAUUGUAUGGUGAAAAAUAGAUAGGACUGUGACCAGUAUGGACAGGAACAAAUUCGAUCAAAAGAGUGGCUAACAAAUAAGCGAGAUUGGGAAGUAAAUUUUGACACUAGUGAUGAAGACAUGGUAUGUCUGACCUAGUAUCCUUUCUCAACUUUGUUUGCUUUUCACACAUGGAACCAUGGAACGUUACAUUCUACAGCUAAUUCAGAUUGAAGAUAAACUAGUGAGGAGAUUGAAAUUCAUUUUGAUGCUACUAUGGUAAAUUAAAUUAUGGAGCAUUGGUUGCGUUAGUCCUCAUUUGUCCUCAGAAAGUAGUUGCACCUAUGGUCAUAAGGAAAGCACGAAAGUGCCUCUUUCUCCAUUGGUAAUGGAGACAAUGGCUGUUGCUGAGGAUAGGAUUUAUGACAAUGAACUGAUUGUCUGACAAGCGAGAAGGAAUUAACUUUGGUGCUACUUAAACAACCGUCGCUUUUGAUGCCUUCAUCUUGCAACAUUAAGUAUGCAAUUAAUUUUGGCCCUGAAAAUGGAAAUCAAUUUGGAAAGCAGUGAAACAACAAAUUGUCUGCAGUGGCGCUCCUCCUAGAUUUGCUCAUCAUACUGGUAGCCCCUUACAAUAAAUUAUGGUAAGAAUACAUGACAAUAUUAAUUGCUGU